ensembl:lncRNA
UUAUUGUGGCGUUUCCUCACUGUGUGUGGGUUUGUACAGGUGGCUUGUCAAGGUUUCCUGGUUAGGGAAGCUUGUGUCGGUGUUCUGGUGGGUGGAGCUGUAUUUCUUCUCUCUGGAGUGCAAUGAAAUAUCCAGUAAUGAGUUAUGAGAUGUCUAUAGUUUUGGGGUGACUUUGGGCAGCCUGUAUCUUGAAGCUCAGGGCUGUGUUCCUUUGUUGCUGGAGAAUUUGCUUGGUAUGUCUUGCCCUGGAACUUAUUGGCCCUUGUGUGGUGCUUGGUUUCAGUGUCGGUAUGGAGGCAUUUGAUGAGCUCCUGUGAAUGAAUGUUCCUUGGAGUCAGGAGUUCCCUGGAGUCAGGGUUUGGACUUAAGUCUCCUGCUUCCGAUUAUCGGUCUUAUUUUUACAGUAGUUUCAAAACUUCUCCUUCUAUACAGCACCAUUGAUAAAACAUCUACAUUAAAGAUGAUAAGUUUCUCUACAGUGAGGGUCACUCAGAGAGGUUCACAGGGUUACAUGGAGAAGAGAAGAGGGAGGAGGGAGUUAGAGGUGACCCAAAUGAGAUGAGGUGAAUCAAUAGUGGAGAGAGUGGGCUAGCCAGUAGUCACUUCCUUAUGUGCACUCCACAACUGGACCACUCAGAGAUGUUCACGGUGUUAUACAGAGAAGAGAAGAAGGAGGAAGGUAACAGAGGUGGCCAGAAGGAUAAAAGGGGGGAAUGAAAAGGAGGGAGACAGAUCCAGCCAGUAAUCAGUUCCCUAAGUGUUCUCCACCGUCUGGAACACACAGAAAUUCACAGAGUUGGGUAGAGUAGAGAGGGGUUAGGGAGGAGACACAGGCGACCUGGUGGAGAAAAAGGAGGGUCCAAAGGGAGAGAGAGCAGUCAAGCCAGUAAUCUCACUCCCUAGUGAAAAAUGGGUCCUGAAGAUUGGGUCCUUAAAGGUACAAAAUUGGUAACAAAUAAAUAAAAGCAAAAAUUAAAAAUCUAGAGUAGAGUUUGGAAUUUCAAAAAUACGAUGUUAAAGAAAAGAAGAAGGAAAAGAAAGAGAGAAAGAACGAACAAACAAAAACAAACAAGGUCGCGAAAAUUAUAAAGAAAGUACAGGUACAAAAUUGAUAACUAAUACCAGAAAGCAAAAAUUAAAAAUCUAGAGUAGAGUUUGGAAUUUCAAAAAUACAAUGUUAAAAAAAAAAAAAAAGAAGAAGAAGAAAAAUAAAGAGAGAAAACAAACAAACAAAUACGAACAAUGUCAUAAAAAUUAUAAAGAAAAUACAGGUACAAAAUUGAUAUCAAAUACCAAAAAGCAUAAAUUAAAAAUCUAGAGUAAAGUUUGGAAUUUCAGAUAUACAAUGUUAUAUAAAAGAAGAAGAGAAAGAAACAGAGAAGAAGAAAAAAAAAAAAAAGUCACAGAAAUUAUAAAAAAAAAACUAUAGGUACAAAAUUGAUAACCAAAAAGCGAAAAUUAAAAAUCUAGAGUAGAGUUUGGAAUUUCAAAAAUACAAUGUUAAAGAAAAGAAGAAAAAAACAAAAACAAACAAACAAAAAAAACAAGGUCAAAAAAUUAUAAAAUAUAUAUAUAUGAAGUUUGCUGAAGAAGAAAAAAAUAGGGUCUUUUUUUUUUUUGCAAAGUAAUAGGUUAUAAAAGUGAAAAUUAAAGGAACAAUAGAGGACUUAAAAUUUUUUUUUUUAAUUUUUUUUUAAUUAAAAAAAAAAGAAUGAUCGUAAAAAUAAUAAAAAUAUAUCUAGGACUUUUUUGUUGUUUUUUUUUUUUUUUUUUUGCUAUU